CUCAGCCCUAGGCAACUUGUUCUCCGCCUUGCACAACUGGAUUACCAAAUUGCGUCGAUCUCUUCCCGGUGAGGUGAGUGUUGGUGGUCGAUUAGCAGUAUCCUCACCUCAACGCAGACCACGUUUCACUGAUUCGUGACAUUACACUGAUUCGUGGGAUCUCCAAUAAGGUUGUUUCUAAUCACUUGACGAACGGGUUGGUUUUCUCCCGCAAACACGCAUCUGUUCGUUCAUUUCCCUAAAGUUAAGGUAAUAUUUUUUUGGGCGUUUGUUGAGUGUUUGUUUAGUUUAGCUCAGAUUUGAAGUGUUCUCUAUAUUGUUAUUUUUUAGUCAUUGUAAGUUGAAAUUGUGGGUUAUUUGUGUCGACUCUAUUGUGCUUUCUGUCCCAAAAUGCACUCGUGAGAUGUGCCGAGCACUCGCCGGUUGGGUACAACAAAUCAAUUUAUGAUUUCACUCCAUUAUACAACCUAUUUCGGUUUCAUUCAGUUGUUUGUUUUGAAGAAAUUGUUGCCCGACCAUUAAUUACGCUCGAGUCCACAUGAUGCUUGAAGACAUAAUGUCCUCAUACCGCGUCGAAACCACUAGGUUGAUAAUUAGAUUUCGCAAAGCAAGAACUGAACGCCGCAAACGCCGAAUACUAGAACACGCACGCAAGUACAGUGUCCUCAACAAAAUCCCUGAUCAAAUCAAACAUUUGGACCGGCUCGUGCAUGUCACAGAAGCAGAUUGCAUUGCAAAUCUACGGAUGGAUUGCAACACGUUUGGAAAGUUAUGUCGGAUUCUAACCGAGCGUGGGGGAUUAAGGAUUGGUAAAUGCUUGGGUGUUGAAGAACAGAUUGCUAUAUUCUUGGGAGUUCUUGCACACCACAACAAAAACCGAGUGCAACGUUUUGCAUUUUGGAGAUCGGGUUCAACCGUUUCCCACUAUGUGAACCAAUUCUAGGUGCGGUUAUUAGUCUACACAUUGACCUACUAACUCAACCGACACCGGUGUCCGAGGGUUGUACUGACCACCGCUGGAAGUGGUUCAAGGGUUGCCUGGGGGCCCUCGACGAGACACACAUUAAUGUUUUGGUGCAUGCUACUGACAAACCUAGGUAUCGAACGCGGAAUGGUCAGAUUGCUAUCAACACCUUAGCGGUCUGCGACCGCAAUAUGCAAUUCAUAUAUUUCUUACCUGGAUGGGAGGGAUCGGCAGACGACUUAUGUGUACUGCGGGAUGUUGUGGCUCGGCAUAAUGGGUUUAAGGUUCCCCAAGGAUGUUAUUACUUGUGCGAUAAUGCGUACGUGAACAACAACGGCUUCCUAACACCGUAUAAAGGGGCCCGUUAUCACCUUAAGGAGUGGGGUCCAGGUAUGCAGCCCCGCAGAACCCAAAUGAACUAUUCAACAUGAGACAUACGAAAGCCAAAAAUGUGGUCGAGCGUGCUUUUGCGGUCCUUAAAAUGCGAUGGGGCAUCUUACGCAGUGCAUCAUACUAUCCCAUCAAGACAGAAAUCCGACUAAUAAUGGCGUGUUUACUCCUGCAUAACUUUAUUAGACGGGAAAUGGUAGUAGACCCCGUUGAAGCUGAGAUUGAGGGCACGAUCCCUCCCACAACAAUGGAUGAAGAAGGUGUUGCACAAGACUACGUACAAUUUGUAGAACCCUCCGCGGAGUGAACAGCGAUGCGCAACAAUUUGGCUUUGAAUAUGUGGAACAACAAAUAGUGUUGCUUGGUGUCGUGCACUUGUUGAAUAACUGAAUUUAUUUUAACAUCAACAACUGUGAACUAUGUUGAAGUUAUAAACUUUCAAAAUUUGUGUUUUUUUUUUCAUGCUCUAAUUUGGGAAAAUAUGAUUUUUGGUGUCA